AUUUAUUAUUAUUAUAAUAAUAUUUAUUAUAAUGUCCGAAGUUGUCCUGGUGGCACACUCUAUGGAUUGUUGUUUAGUCACAUACAGUAUUGAAUGAAGCAGUGGCAUUUAUAAUGUUAUAUGGUGAAAUUAUAGGUUAAAUAUACAGUAGGAUCUAUGAAGCACUGAAAUGCUGUCACCAUUUCAAGAAUAUUAAUCUUUGUAGGUGGUGUUGACUUUGUCAGAAUAAAUAACAUUUCUAUUCUCAAAUAUUGGUUUUAGCAUUUGUUUAAUAUGGUUUUAUAAAUGUAUAAAGAGUUAAGUGGAUGCAGCAUUGGUUCGCGUGAUUCUGUAUUGUGUGUACGCAUCUGGUUGUGGUCCAGAUGUUUAACAUCCAGUAUUUUUUUUUAAGCAAGCAGAAAUGCAGAGUUCGGGUUGGAUGUUUAUCACCUGCCAGGGAGUGUCUUUUUAAAAUCUAGUGUUACUUUGCAGAUCAGAUGUUUUAUGUAUACAGUUAUAUUUGAAUUAAGUCUAGAUGAAGCUUAUGUAUUGAACAGGAAUGCUCUUGAACACAUUUUUUUAGAUUCACUUGAGCCCACUACUUUUUAUGAUAUUUCACAUCAUCCUGUUAUAAAAGGGAGUUUUUAAAUGAAAACUUGCAUGUAACUUUUCUUUUGCAUCCGGACUUUGCAGAUGUUUGUCUUCACGAAAACGUCUUCAUCGGAAUAUGUGACUUUAAUUUUAUUUUUGUAAUGUCACAAAUUCAGGACUGUAAAUGAACUGUAAGAUACACUAACUGAUGAAUAUACAGCAACACAGUGCACGUACGAAGAGCUACAGGGUGGUUGGACUGAGACCUGUGGAGGGUUUUAGUUUUGUCGACAGACUUGAGGGGAAUUAUAUCAAAUGUUUACAUUGCUUUUAAUUUCUAAUAAACUACAAAUUAAAGAGU